rnacentral:rRNA from 1 species
GACGAACGCUGGCGGCGUGCUUAACACAUGCAAGUCGAGCGGUAAGGCCCUUUCGGGGGUACGACGAGCGGCGAACGGGUGAGUAACACGUGGGUGACCUGCCCUCAGCUCUGGGAUAAGCCUGGGAAACCGGGUCUAAUACUGGAUAUGACUCCAUGACGCAUGUUGUGGGGUGGAAAGCCUUGUGCGGCUGAGGAUGGGCCCGCGGCCUAUCAGCUUGUUGGUGGGGUGAUGGCCUACCAAGGCGACGACGGGUAGCCGGCCUGAGAGGGCGACCGGCCACACUGGGACUGAGACACGGCCCAGACUCCUACGGGAAGGCAGCAGUGGGGAAUCUUGCGCAAUGGGCGAAAGCCUGACGCAGCGACG